rnacentral:rRNA from 1 species
UACGUAGGGGGCAAGCGUUGUCCGGAUUUAUUGGGCGUAAAGAGCGUGUAGGCGGCCAUACAGGUCAGCUGUGAAAACUCGAGGCUCAACCUCGAGACGUCGGUUGAAACCGUAUGGCUAGAGUCCGGAAGAGGAGAGUGGAAUUCCCGGUGUAGCGGUGAAAUGCGCAGAUAUCGGGAAGAACACCCAUGGCGAAGGCGGGUCUCUGGGCCGAUACUGACGCUGAGGAGCGAAAGCGUGGGGAGCGAACAGG